CACGGGGUUGCGAGCGUUGUCCGGAAUUACUAGGCGUAAAGGGCAGGCAGGCGGAUCCAUAAGUUUAUCGUUUAAGGCGUCGGCUUAACCGGCGUAGGGCGGUAGAUACUGUGGAUCUGGAAUGCGGUUGGGGAAGACAGAAUUCCUGGUGUAGCGGUGGAAUGCGCAGAGAUCAGGAGGAAUACCGAAGGCGAAGGCAGUCUUCCAAGCCGUUAUUGACGCUCAACUGCGAAGGUGUGGGUAUCAAACAGGAUUAGAUACCGGUAGUCCCUGAG
rnacentral:rRNA from 1 species